AAGUGCGUAGCUUGUGCGCACUCCAGCAUUUGGCUACAGGUACCCCAGCGAACGGAAAGCGGGACCGACACGUGAUUGAUACUGUAUUGUGUAAUAAUCCAGCACAUAACAAAUAUUUGAAACACGCAUUAUGCCGCCAUUCCUAACCUCUUCGCUCUCAUUUUCCAUCUCGCCCACUCCUAUCGGGUGUCUCCACCACAUCACACCAAAGAGUCUCCAAGACAGAGCUGGCCUUGAUGCUGGUGGUAGCUGGUUCACUGUAAACAUUCAUCGAAUGUGGAAUGCUCUGCCAGCAAGACAAUGGUUUACUGGCACAUGCGAAGGUAUACAUUUGCUGCUCAAGACUGGAAAAAUCUACAACAUCAUAAAUCGCCUGUUUGACUACAUCUUGAAGCUGCUUUAAAUUGCUGCAUUAUCUCUACAGUGUCAGUGAGUUCCACCACAUUUAGUAAAGUUUGUAUGCCGCGUCACGAUGGCCCAAUUUAUUUUCACGAAGUACGCGCUUUACGCAGUGGUGGUAAUUUGUUACACAAUAUGCUCAAAUUUCACAUCAUAAUAUCAACGUCAAGCUGCUUUGGCUUCAUUACUACCAAGCUUUUUUCGAAUGAGGAAUCUGCAUUCCAUAAGUGAUCAAUUGCGCUUAUUUGUAUUUUUAGAAUUAGGAGAAAUGAAAAGAACGUGCGUACUUAAAAGGCUAUUUGUUGUGGCAGUUACAUAUUUUAAUCAAUGCUCAGAAUUGGAAUUUCAAUGUUCCUAAAAUUUACAGUGAUGUUACUUUUCAACAAAAAAUCAUAUAACGCCGCUUGAUUGCUCCUAUUACGACACGUAAAGUAAUAAAAUUUGAAAUUCAUGACGCCAUUUUGAAAUUUACUUAUAUUUUAUGAGUAAAUUAUUAGAGUUCAGCAAAAGUUACAAGAACAAAAUGAAGUGCUUCGUGAAAACCGACAUUGUAUGCAUACGUUUGUACAAUUUAUGAGCUUAGUAGAUGUAAACUACAAAACUGAAUAACUGCUUUUUGUGCAUAGUUACAGUGGUAGUACUAUUGCUUGAAGUGAUUCAAAGUUGCCUGUACUUAUUAUUAUUUUUCUAGUUGGAAGCCGAAAUUAAAGGCCUUCACCGAGCAGUUGUUAGCAGUUCCUAAUUAAAAAAAGCUACAAACUUUAUUCAAAUAGGUGUGGGGUUUAUCAAAUGGCAAUUGGACCUUGCACUACAAUUGAAAGGGAGAACGAGGGGGUUGCUUUCUCAAGCUGCCUUCUAAGCUAUGCAACAUCUCUCGGGGAUAUAGCUAUUCUUUCUUUCACCAUUUUGUCGCCUACAUCGUGAAAAUUAAACACGUAGCAAGAAGCAACAGUGUGCAAAGCAUUGAUCAUUGCCAGGUGUACCCCCACUUUUAUUUGAUUGUCAGCAAAUGUUUAAAAAUUUCCUGGUGCAUGUAGUACACGAGGAAUAAGGAUUAUAAACAGGGAUAAGGUGCCUCAGAAAGGCUGGUCAACGUUUCGA